rnacentral:ncRNA from 1 species
GGCAUCUCAACGGGGCGCAAAUGCUGAGAGGCGCGGAGUGUUUUCCGCGGCCGACCCGUAGAACCUGAUCCAGAUGAUGCUGGCGGAGGGAUUGAGAGCGCGUUGGUU